AGCAGUCGCCGCGGUAAUACGAAGGGUGCAAGCGUUACUCGGAAUUACUGGGCGUAAAGCGUGCGUAGGUGGUGGUUUAAGUCCGUUGUGAAAGCCCUGGGCUCAACCUGGGAAUUGCAGUGGAUACUGGGUCACUAGAGUGUGGUAGAGGAUAGUGGAAUUUCCGGUGUAGCAGUGAAAUGCGUAGAGAUCGGAAGGAACAUCUGUGGCGAAGGCGACUAUCUGGGCCAACACUGACACUGAGGCACGAAAGCGUGGGGAGCAAACAGGAUUAGAUACCCCAGUAGUCCCUGUCUCUUAUAA
rnacentral:rRNA from 1 species